UUUCCGUAAGUGAACCUGCGGAAGGAUCAUUAUUGUAUAAUCGAGGUGCGAGGGUUGUCGCUGACCCGAAAGGUCGUGCACGCCCGAGUGCCCUCACACAUUUUCAUCUCACCCCUAUGUGCACCACCGCGUGGGUCCCCCUUUGGCUUGUUCGGAGGGGGGCUUACGUUUUCACACAAACUUUGUAAGUAGUGUAGAAUGUAUUUUUUGUUUUUGUGAUCACGCUAUAAAUACAACUCCAAACAAUGGAUCUUUUGGCUCUGGCAUCGAUGAAGAUCU
rnacentral:misc_RNA from 1 species